GCCUACGACCAUCUCACCCUGAAUGCGCCCGAUCUCGUCUGAUCUCGGAAGCUAAGCAGAGUAGAGCCUAGUUAGUACUUGUGAUGGGAGACUGCCUGGGAAUACCAGGUGUUGUAGGCU
ensembl:rRNA 5S_rRNA 5S ribosomal RNA